UGCUCUCGCUGUUUCCCGGAGCACCUUCCCCCGUCGCGGAAAUGAGCCCAGCCGGCCCCGAGGCCAAGCGUGACAAGGCACCGGGCCUCCCGGAGCUGGGGUCUGCCGCCCUUCGCUAGGGCCGCUUGGCGUGUGUAGGAGUCACACAGCGGGCGGCCGGGGGAGUCCCAACAUCUUCAUCGUGCAGCAGUGAGAGCGGGAGGGGAGGGGUGUAUGAGGAGAUUGAAACCCGGAGUUGUACCUGUGCCUGCCGGGCCGGUCUGCCUUUUGCUCCGGGUGCCCUGUGAUGUGGAUCGCUCCGAGGGAAAGGAGAGACUGUUCUGCUCACCUUGGUAUUUCCAUUGUUCCCAGCCGUACUCUUAUUGUCCGAUUGACCCAGGAUAUGGUUUCCCCGCCUAGGGUCGAGGCUGGAACCUUUGCAGAGUUAAAUUGACUGCUCUCAGCUCUAGGUUUAUGCUGUGAGCCUUCCCCUCCUCGCUCCAGAGGCCUUGGUAGGUGUUGCAAGGACUAAAGGAUUUGGAAGGCAGAGGAGCAGGCGUUUGUGGACACUGUCAUGGACUGCCCACCUGUGCUGAAACGCAUACUUGAUUUUUCAUGGGCUGUGGGGAGUCCUGAACUUUUCAUAUGAAAGCUUUAAAGACUUCUGAUGUUUGCUUGUGCCCAUGAAGUGAUCCCUAUGCAGACUACGAGGAGUCCUUGCAGUUGGAGGCAUAAUGCCUCCUCUGGCUCUGGAGCAAGAAAAUAAAUUCCUGGGUAAAACCAAACAACUUUUCUUGGCCCUGAUGAAGAAGCCAUGUAUGUGGAGGAGAUUCCACAUCCAAGAUGUAGCCUUGAGCACUGCGGACUGAGAUAGAGCUCUGAUCAGGAUAUUGUCCGGGAAGGGAUACAGGUGAGUUCCCUGUGACCUGUCUGGCUCUUGACAGUACCAACAUCUUUGUAAAAACCUGGGGGCCAUGGGCAGGUCAAAUGGGAGUGUUAGAAAUGGAUACUGGCUCCUGGCGUAUGCAAAUCUCAGAAGUCUGUAGUGACAUGAUUUGGGGAAUAUGGAGAUAAGAUUCCACUACAUCUACUGAAGUCAAGAAGCCCACUGGGACAGGGAUGACACUGCAGAGACCAUGGUCUCCAUCUGAAACUUUUUCUUCAUCCACUUGUUGAGCCUUUUGAGGUAAAGAAUGACUCUGAUGCACCCUUCCCUACCCUCACUGUUGCAUAAUGAAGAUGUAGAACCCAAAGAACCUUUCUUCUGAGGGAAGGUAUUCUAUCACUCCCAUAUCCAGAAAAUGAGAUAUUUCCUUCUGAAUCGGAUUGUGUUUUAUGGGGUCACUGUUUCCUGAGUCACUUGUGCAUGGUCAAUGAAAACCAUUUCUUUAGGAAAUGGGAGAUCCUGACUGCAGCUUUAGCUGUAGGUGGAGACCUGUGUGAUCUGUGUCAAAGUGGAUGGGGAAAGGGCAGGCAGAGAGGCUAAGGUCCCUCUAGACUUUGUCCAUUUUCCUUGAGGGAAUCUGUUGUGGCUUUGCUGGUACCUCUGAGGAUGAGCAGCAAAAAGAGCACCUCUCUGAAAGCCGGUUUAUAUCGUCUCCUGGGGGACCUUAAUGGGGAAAGGGGAGGCAAUGCAACACAAUCCAAACAAUCAGCCACCACUUUAUCCAUGUUUUCUUCAACAAGGAGGGAAAUGUAACCUUGGCUGAGCACAGGACCUGCAUAGAGUGAGAAGCCACCUUCCAGGGACUGAACCAUAGAUGCUGCAUGGCUGCUGAGCUGGAAGCCAUGGCUCAGGCUGAAACCCUCAUUGUAACUGAUACCUCAAUAGAUGCAAAUACUGUUGCUAGUGACUCCUUAAAGUGGAGCCCAAGUGAACUCCCGGAUGGCAUUGAUGUUACAUCCUCCUCUUCCAAUGACUCUGGAAAUUACUGUUGAUGGGACAGAAACCUUCUUUGAUCUAUGCAGAAGAAAAAAGUAUUAAGGGAAAUAGAGAAGUUUUGAUGAUCUGAAAUAAGGUGUUGAAGGCAACCCUCAAUAUGGAAAACUGCAAGAAAUCUCUGAGUGCAGCAAACAUCUCCCAGUAGCAGAAGGCAGGGAGAAGGUGUAACAAAUUAAAAAGAGGAUCUGAACUCAAGAUUCAUCACAACAGCAUGAGAGAUAAUGACAUCAACAUCUCAAUUGGAAACAGGGAGGUGUCCUUCCUUGCCUUGUCAUAAAACUCUUGCAGGAUGAACAAGAACCCUGACCUCAGGUGUUAGUAGACAAGUAAAAACUCAUUUUCAAAUAAUUUGAUUUUAACAUUUGUCAUUUUUAAAAUCAACUACAUAUUCUGUUAUUUCUAGUCUACUCCUGAGAAAUGCUGAAGACUCAACAAUUGCCACUGAUAGCUGUGGGUACCCCUGAUUUUUUUCCAUUGUUACCUUAGUUUUAAUUUCUCAUUAAAAAAAGGGAAAAUUUUAGAAGUCAUUUCAUCAGCUGACUUUAUAAAAGUGGUUCCAUUUUCAGUCGGUUCAAACUUAAGUAAUCAUGGUGAAAAACUGGUGACUUUCCAUUUGAUGAGACAAAUGUCAAAGACAUGGUGAGCUAAAUUAAUUUCUGGUGUAACUCAAGUGACACCAUCCCUGAGUCUUAGUAAGUCAAACAUUCCAUGGAGAGACACCAUGAAGUCUCUAGGAUACACAGCAAAGAUGUUUUAGUUUGCUGGAUAUUGUAUUGAGCCAAAUUAAUCUCCAGUAUUGUGGCAGCUUGAAUUCAGACUUUAAAACUUAAAUUGUACAGCAUUUUUGAAGUUUACCUAUUUGUACUACAUUCCCUAUUUACAAAUAAAAAUGGGUUAUUUUAACAUUAGUGGUUCAGAACUCUGAAAUUUAAUUUAUACAAACUCAGACUAAUCCUGAAAACCUUCCACACGUGCAACUCCCACAGACUUAAUUGGAUAUUGCAAAACACACAGCUUGUAGAAUUGGGACCAAUGAAUGUGAAAAAUAUUUGAUUCAGAUGUAAAUUGUAAAUAAAUCUAACCAUUCAUAAAAGGAAGUGUUCAGAUAGUGCACCCCCAAAAUGGAAUCAUGAAUCCUCAAUAUUUAAAUGGA